rnacentral:lncRNA from 1 species
AAUGAGCGCCGUGUUUAAACAAGUGUAUAGAACACAUCUGUCCGGGCCUUGGGACUCGAGGCUGUGUGACCAAUUUCAGCAUCUGAAAGUUAAAUUAAUGGUAAAGGGUUUAAUUGUGAGUAAACAAUACCACAUUAAGGAGCAGUAAACACAGCAGUAGGGACCCACCGACCCGCUCUGCCAUCACAGAUGCGGCGGCCUCCAUGUGACCGUUAAUAGUCCCCACCGCCUGGAAGUUCUGACAGUGCCCUGAAGCCCAUUUGUCAUCUAAAUGGUCCGUCCCCUUCUUAAACAUCAUUUUGGCCCACGGUCCAUUCAUGGGGCCUGCUGGGUGUUCCUGGGAAAAUGGGCAGAAAAUCCCAAGGCCACCACUUAGUGCCAAUAAACAGAAGGUCUGGUUUCUUCAAAAGAAACACAAGAAAUUGUUUCCUGAUUUUGCCACAGAGAUUGGGUCACAGAGUGCCACCUAAAUGGUAUUACCAUAUUUGUGUUGUCGUCUCUUGGUUUGAAAUUUAUUCCUGGUAUGACUUGUGUCUUCCCUUGUUACAUCUCUGACACCCAAGCCAAUGAGAUGACAACCCAGGCUGAGAUGUCCCAUGUGUCACAAAGGAGUCCUUCAGUAUUUCCAGGAAUAGUUGGAACCAGCACUCCAUCCCCUACCUGGACCUGGCACCGUCUCUACUCUUGUCAGUUCUAUACUAAUCACAGGAAGAAGGUGGAAUUAGUCCAAGCUGGGUUUUCAGAAAUAACUUGUAGACAUGCAACAGAUGUUUAUAACCCUCAGAAGGGGAAGGAAACUUGGAAACCCUCUCUUUCAGUGAUUUUUUUUCUAAUGAUUGUCUCUGCCAUGAAAUUCUAACUUCGAAUGAAAUCUUUGGCAGGAGCCCAGGGCUGUUCUGUCAAGGUUCAGCUGCAGGACCAGAGCCCCUUCCACCUAACCCUCACUCCUAUCCUGAUGCUUCCUGAGGCACAUCUGCUGUGGUUUCUCACCAGAGAACAGUCUGCAAAAUCACUGCACCUUGUCCAACUCCAUUUUCCAACUGAGAAGACUUGGCCCAGAGAAGUGCACAGACUUCAGGAAAGUAACACAGCAAUCAGACAGACAGACAUCCCCAAAUAUACCUGCUACGGUCCUGGGAGAAAAUAGAGACCCAUCCCCAAAUACCAUCAUCCUCAUCAUUCUCUGUAGCCCAAUCCAAUGAUGCUCCAGGCCUGAGAUUUUAUCCAAUGAACACUCUGUACAUCUUUAAAAGAGAUAUGUACUUGUCUUUUUCUCCUUGUCUUUUUUUUUUUUUUUUAAAAACACAGGCCCCAGAUCCAGUCAUUCUAAAUAGGAAGGAAAAACAUAACCCAUUGAGGCAAUGGAUGCUGUUUCUCUCCCUCCUCUGUGACUUUAGUUUGCCUUUAAAGCCCAUUUUCACCAUUUAUUGAUUUUAGUUUUCUACUUGUCUAUGAAUGACAACUUGAAUUAAGACAACACAGGCUGAAAAGGCCACUAGGCAGUGCUAAAUGGACAAGCUACACUUCGUGGCAGAAUGUCUCAUGACCGUGCCGCCUUCUGCCUAGCCCCAUUCUCUGGAGGAGCUGUGGGCAGACCGACCCCCUCCUGGCCGCCUGGCAUGGGGACUGGUUGCGUCAGAUCGGAGCUCUGAGAUAAGGGUGGGCCAGGGCAUGAUCAUCACCACUGCCAGCCUCGAAGCCUCUUUGCUGACCUGGAGGUGAACUGUGUAUCAAAGGGGGCCGUGUCGUUCAACAGCACUUCCAGAAGAGGCGAAAGAUCUGUCUCUACUUCAGCCUCCACUGGGCAGAAGACUAAGCCUAUUUGCUCUAGGCCCUUCAGACUCGCACUUGGAGAAAGAAAACUCACUGAGUCAGCCCUUAUGUAACUCCACUCUCCUCUCUUCCAAACCUCCCUGCUUUGGACAAAUAUUUGACAGAAAAUGCCCUUUUGCAACACCUUAAAAGUUACAAAAAUGGUGCACCCUAUCCUUUAAUCUGUACUGUAAAUAAAAAAUAUUAACAC